rnacentral:rRNA from 1 species
UACAGAGGGGGCAAGCGUUAUCCGGAAUUAUUGGGCGUAAAGCGCGCGCAGGUGGUUUCUUAAGUCUGAUGUGAAAGCCCACGGCUCAACCGUGGAGGGUCAUUGGAAACUGGGAGACUUGAGUGCAGAAGAGGAAAGUGGAAUUCCAUGUGUAGCGGUGAAAUGCGUAGAGAUCGGGAGGAACACCAGCGGCGAAGGCGGCCCCCUGGGCCGCUCCUGACGCUGAGACGCGAAGGCCAGGGUAGCGAACGGG